rnacentral:rRNA from 1 species
AAAUUGAAGAGUUUGAUCAUGGCUCAGAUUGAACGCUGGCGGCAGGCCUAACACAUGCAAGUCGAACGGUAACAGGAAACAGCUUGCUGUUUCGCUGACGAGUGGCGGACGGGUGAGUAAUGUCUGGGAAACUGCCUGAUGGAGGGGGAUAACUACUGGAAACGGUAGCUAAUACCGCAUAACGUCGCAAGACCAAAGAGGGGGACCUUCGGGCCUCUUGCCAUCGGAUGUGCCCAGAUGGGAUUAGCUAGUAGGUGGGGUAACGGCUCACCUAGGCGACGAUCCCUAGCUGGUCUGAGAGGAUGACCAGCCACACUGGAACUGAGACACGGUCCAGACUCCUACGGGAGGCAGCAGUGGGGAAUAUUGCACAAUGGGCGCAAGCCUGAUGCAGCCAUGCCGCGUGUAUGAAGAAGGCCUUCGGGUUGUAAAGUACUUUCAGCGGGGAGGAAGGGAGUAAAGUUAAUACCUUUACUCAUUGACGUUACCCGCAGAAGAAGCACCGGCUAACUCCGUGCCAGCAGCCGCGGUAAUACGGAGGGUGCAAGCGU